AAAGGCCAAUCAAACCGGGAGAUAGCUGGUUCUCCCCGAAAGCUAUUUAGGUAGCGCCUCGUGAAUUCAUCUCCGGGGGUAGAGCACUGUUUCGGCAAGGGGGUCAUCCCGACUUACCAACCCGAUGCAAACUGCGAAUACCGGAGAAUGUUAUCACGGGAGACACACGGCGGGUGCUAACGUCCGUCGUGAAGAGGGAAACAACCCAGACCGCCAGCUAAGGUCCCAAAGUCAUGGUUAAGUGGGAAACGAUGUGGGAAGGCCCAGACAGCCAGGAUGUUGGCUUAGAAGCAGCCAUCAUUUAAAGAAAGCGUAAUAGCUCACUGGUCGAGUCGGCCUGCGCGGAAGAUGUAACGGGGCUAAACCAUGCACCGAAGCUGCGGCAGCGACACUAUGUGUUGUUGGGUAGGGGAGCGUUCUGUAAGCCUGUGAAGGUGGCCUGUGAGGGUUGCUGGAGGUAUCAGAAGUGCGAAUGCUGACAUAAGUAACGAUAAAGCGGGUGAAAAGCCCGCUCGCCGGAAGACCAAGGGUUCCUGUCCAACGUUAAUCGGGGCAGGGUGAGUCGACCCCUAAGGCGAGGCCGAAAGGCGUAGUCGAUGGGAAACAGGUUAAUAUUCCUGUACUUGGUGUUACUGCGAAGGGGGGACGGAGAAGGCUAUGUUGGCCGGGCGACGGUUGUCCCGGUUUAAGCGUGUAGGCUGGUUUUCCAGGCAAAUCCGGAAAACCAAGGCUGAGGCGUGAUGACGAGGCACUACGGUGCUGAAGCGACAAAUGCCCUGCUUCCAGGAAAAGCCUCUAAGCAUCAGGUAACAUCAAAUCGUACCCCAAACCGACACAGGUGGUCAGGUAGAGAAUACCAAGGCGCUUGAGAGAACUCGGGUGAAGGAACUAGGCAAAAUGGUGCCGUAACUUCGGGAGAAGGCACGCUGAUAUGUAGGUGAAGCGACUUGCUCGUGGAGCUGAAAUCAGUCGAAGAUACCAGCUGGCUGCAACUGUUUAUUAAAAACACAGCACUGUGCAAACACGAAAGUGGACGUAUACGGUGUGACGCCUGCCCGGUGCCGGAAGGUUAAUUGAUGGGGUUAGCGGUAACGCGAAGCUCUUGAUCGAAGCCCCGGUAAACGGCGGCCGUAACUAUAACGGUCCUAAGGUAGCGAAAUUCCUUGUCGGGUAAGUUCCGACCUGCACGAAUGGCGUAAUGAUGGCCAGGCUGUCUCCACCCGAGACUCAGUGAAAUUGAACUCGCUGUGAAGAUGCAGUGUACCCGCGGCAAGACGGAAAGACCCCGUGAACCUUUACUAUAGCUUGACACUGAACAUUGAGCCUUGAUGUGUAGGAUAGGUGGGAGGCUUUGAAGUGUGGACGCCAGUCUGCAUGGAGCCGACCUUGAAAUACCACCCUUUAAUGUUUGAUGUUCUAACGUUGGCCCGUAAUCCGGGUUGCGGACAGUGUCUGGUGGGUAGUUUGACUGGGGCGGUCUCCUCCUAAAGAGUAACGGAGGAGCACGAAGGUUGGCUAAUCCUGGUCGGACAUCAGGAGGUUAGUGCAAUGGCAUAAGCCAGCUUGACUGCGAGCGUGACGGCGCGAGCAGGUGCGAAAGCAGGUCAUAGUGAUCCGGUGGUUCUGAAUGGAAGGGCCAUCG
rnacentral:rRNA from 1 species